AAAGUCGUAACAAGGUUUCCGUAGGUGAACCUGCGGAAGGAUCAUUAACACGUUAUCCACGUAUUACCCAAAACUACCGUGAACUUGGCCCGGCUGAGGACCUUCGUAAGACUUCGGUCUUGCGGUUGUGGAUUGAGAAACACCUUGCUUCCGUUUCUCUCCGUCGUAUAUCAAGUUAGGGUUGAGGCUUUUGCGGUUCUGCAUUAGCUUGACUUGAUGCGAUCUUCAGUCUUGUGGCCGCUUUUCCCUAUUUUCUUAAUCACCCUUUGAUGCUUUUAGUGAGGCUUCGGCCGAACUGACUGCAUUUGUUGCUUCAUUAGUUUAUCUGCUUUUGCUGAGAAACAUCGAAGGCGUACGCUUUCUGUUUCUUUGCGUUAGCUUUAAAAACUCUGAACAACUCUUAGCAACGGAUAUCUUGGUUUCC
rnacentral:misc_RNA from 1 species